AGCAAACCUCUCUCUCCGCUAUUAUUUCUGCAGACAAAGGCAUUGUUCACACUGACAUACAGCAUUAUCCCCUUACUUGCAUUACAGAUUGUUAGAUGCAUGCAGCUGAUUAGUCCAGGAAACGAAGAUCACUGUGAGACCAGUUGAGCUUUGGAAUCAUUUCCGAGAAGCCGUGAAUUCGCUGAUCCGGAGAGCAGCGAAGAAUGCCAAAAGAAAAACAGAUCAGAAAAGCUGAGUUUGUAGAACCUAAGAACAUAUUGAGGGUAAAACGUCAUAUAAUUGAAAUAAAAUUUUCUUAGAUA